GAAAUGCGAUAAGUAAUGUGAAUUGCAGAAUUCAGUGAAUCAUCGAAUCUUUGAACGCACCUUGCGCUCCUUGGUAUUCCUUGGAGCAUGCCUGUUUGCGUAUCCUGAAAUCUUCAAAGUAAAUCUUUUGUUAACUCAAUUGGUUUCUACUUUGGUAUUGGAGGUCUUUGCAGCUUCACACCUGCUCCUCUUUGUUCAUUAGCUGGAUCUCAGUGUUAUGCUUGGUUCCACUCGGCGUGAUAAGUUAUCUAUCGCUGAGGACACUGUAAAAGGUGGCCAAGGUAAAUGCAGAUGAACCGCUUCUAAUAGUCCAUUGACUUGGACAAUACUUUUAUGAUCUGAUCUCAAAUCAGGUAGGACUACCCGCUGAACUUAAGC
rnacentral:misc_RNA from 1 species